CCCCGGUAAACGGCGGCCGUAACUAUAACGGUCCUAAGGUAGCGAAAUUCCUUGUCGGGUAAGUUCCGACCUGCACGAAUGGCGUAAUGAUGGCCAGGCUGUCUCCACCCGAGACUCAGUGAAAUUGAACUCGCUGUGAAGAUGCAGUGUACCCGCGGCAAGACGGAAAGACCCCGUGAACCUUUACUAUAGCUUGACACUGAACAUUGAGCCUUGAUGUGUAGGAUAGGUGGGAGGCUUUGAAGUGUGGACGCCAGUCUGCAUGGAGCCGACCUUGAAAUACCACCCUUUAAUGUUUGAUGUUCUAACGUGGACCCGUAAUCCGGGUUGCGGACAGUGUCUGGUGGGUAGUUUGACUGGGGCGGUCUCCUCCUAAAGAGUAACGGAGGAGCACGAAGGUUGGCUAAUCCUGGUCGGACAUCAGGAGGUUAGUGCAAUGGCAUAAGCCAGCUUGACUGCGAGCGUGACGGCGCGAGCAGGUGCGAAAGCAGGUCAUAGUGAUCCGGUGGUUCUGAAUGGAAGGGCCAUCGCUCAACGGAUAAAAGGUACUCCGGGGAUAACAGGCUGAUACCGCCCAAGAGUUCAUAUCGACGGCGGUGUUUGGCACCUCGAUGUCGGCUCAUCACAUCCUGGGGCUGAAGUAGGUCCCAAGGGUAUGGCUGUUCGCCAUUUAAAGUGGUACGCGAGCUGGGUUUAGAACGUCGUGAGACAGUUCGGUCCCUAUCUGCCGUGGGCGCUGGAGAACUGAGGGGGGCUGCUCCUAGUACGAGAGGACCGGAGUGGACGCAUCACUGGUGUUCGGGUUGUCAUGCCAAU
rnacentral:rRNA from 3 species